rnacentral:rRNA from 1 species
AGUGAACGCUGGCGGUAUGCCUAACACAUGCAAGUCGAACGGCAGCACAGUAAGAGCUUGCUCUUACGGGUGGCGAGUGGCGGACGGGUGAGGAAUACAUCGGAAUCUACUUUUUCGUGGGGGAUAACGUAGGGAAACUUACGCUAAUACCGCAUACGACCUACGGGUGAAAGCAGGGGAUCUUCGGACCUUUCGCGAUUGAAUGAGCCGAUGUCGGAUUAGCUAGUUGGCGGGGUAAAGGCCCACCAAGGCGACGAUCCGUAGCUGGUCUGAGAGGAUGAUCAGCCACACUGGAACUGAGACACGGUCCAGACUCCUACGGGAGGCAGCAGUGGGGAAUAUUGGACAAUGGGCGCAAGCCUGAUCCAGCCAUACCGCGUGGGUGAAGAAGGCCUUCGGGUUGUAAAGCCCUUUUGUUGGGAAAGAAAAGAAGCAGGUUAAUACCCCGCUGUUCUGACGGUACCCAAAGAAUAAGCAACGGCUAACUUCGUG